GAUGAACGCUAGCGGCAGGCCUAACACAUGCAAGUCGAGGGAGAAGCCCUUUCGGGGGCAGAAACCGGCGCACGGGUGCGUAACGCGUAUGCAACCUACCUUUCACAGGGGGAUAGCCCGAAGAAAUUUGGAUUAAUACCCCAUAAUAUUAUUGGAUGGCAUCAUUUGAUAAUUAAAACUGCGGUGGUGAAAGAUGGGCAUGCGUCCUAUUAGCUAGUUGGAGUGGUAACGGCACCCCAAGGCUACGAUAGGUAGGGGUCCUGAGAGGGAGAUCCCCCACACUGGUACUGAGACAGGGACCAGACUCCUACGGGAGGCAGCAGUAAGGAAUAUUGGGCAAUGGUCGGAAGACUGAACCAGCCAUGCCGCGUGCAGGAAGAAUGCCUUAUGGGUUGUAAACUGCUUUUAUAUGGGAAGAAUAAGGCGUACGUGUACGUUGAUGACGGUACCAUAUGAAUAAGCAUCGGCUAACUCCGUG
rnacentral:rRNA from 1 species